CUUUGUUAAAGCAGAUAAACAUAGCCUCAGCUCCUUCUGUGUGGUCCAACUCUCUUCCGCGCAUAGGACACACACACAUCUUUCAGUGCUGCCCUCAGAGUCCAGCCCAUGCUUGCCAGCCCUCCCUUAAUCCCUGCCUUCCAGCAACCUGCACACUCAGCGCUCCACACAUUCCACAGGGUCAGUACCCAGCUCCCAGGGCUCUGUCAUCUUUGGAAGACCAGACGGUUGUUGCUAGGCAGAAUAUACAGGGCACAACUGUAGCCAACUGUCUAACUCAAGCCUAUUCAUGGUAUUUCUCUGUUUGCAUGGAUUAUGAAUCGAGGAAGCAAUGAUUUUUCAGUUUACCACACAAGCUGUUGUUCCUUGAUUAACUGUUAUGAAAAUGAUAGCUAUGUUCUAUGACUUUAAUUUUACUAAAAUUCUGAGAUGCAAAAUAAUAUUCAGUCUAUAUUAUUUGCAGGAGAAUGAUUAGCUCUGCAGAGUAGUAGGAAGUAACAAAAGAAAUAGAGGGCAUUGGAACUGUCUUAUAUAGCAAGGCACAUGUAUGGAUUGGGGCAGGUUUGUCCUGUGCCAGCUUUUUGUACUACUUAAUCAAGUGGCCUGAAAUCAACUGUGUAUGCCUGUACAAGUUAUGACUUCUGACACAUGGAGGUCACUUGAAAUCAAAUAGAGGUACAAUCAAGUUCUGGUUUUACCUUGUACUAGUGCUGUGAUAUAUGCUUAGUUGCUUUACUUUCCUGAGUUUUAAUUUCUUCAUCUGUAAAAUGGUGGUAAUAACAGUCAAUGUGAAUGUAAACGAGAACAUAUAUGUAAAGGGGCCUCUCAGUUUAUACAACAAAGUCAUUGUUUAGUAAAUGUGAAUACUUGCCCCACCAAUAAAUAUCUGUUACAUGGACUUGAGUGUAUAGUUGAACUUUAUUUCAAUCUUGAAAA
rnacentral:lncRNA from 10 species